AGUGAACGCUGGCGGCGUGCUUAACACAUGCACGUCGAACGCGAACGGAUUAUAGCUUGCUAUAAUUGUCAGCUAAGUGGCGCACGGGUGAGUAAUGUAUAGGUAAUAUGCCUCUUACUAAGGGAUUACAAAUGGAAACGUUUGCUACUACCUUAUACUCCUUAUUAUCAGCGGUUAAUAAGGGACAGAUUUAUUGGUAAGAGAUUAGCCUGUAUUGUAUUAGUUAGUUGGGGGGGUAAUGGCUUACCAAGACUAUGACACAUAACUGGUUUGAGAGGAUGAUCAGUCACACGGGAACUGAGACACGGUCCAGACUCCUACGGGAGGCAGCAGUGGGGAAUAUUGCACAAUGGACGAAAGUCUGAUGCAGCAACGGCGCGUGGAGGAUGACACAUGUCGGUGGGUAAACUCCGGUUAUAUGAGGAGAUAAUGACGGUAUUAUAUGAAUAAGCACCGGCUAACGCCGUGCCAGCCGCCGCAGUAAAAC
rnacentral:rRNA from 1 species